rnacentral:lncRNA from 1 species
AGGGUUUCCAUUUCACUCCCAGAAGCAUCACAAAAUUCUUCCCUGAUUUCCAAAAAUAAACUCUUUUAAUACGCCAAAUUAUUCUAAAAACAAGGUGGUAAUAGAGAAGAGAGUGUUGUGAAAUCAAAGAAGCAAAGAUAAGUCUCCAAAAAAAUUUAAAACUCCUCCAUAGUCCAGACAGAUAGUUGUUUCUGAGAAUUCCACCCUCCCCAAAGUUGGAAUUAUACGACAGAAUUUUUUUUUUUUUUAAUUCCUUCAGUUGUUUUAUUCCAUUCUUGUAGGGCUCCUCCUGGGAUUGAAUUUUCCCUUCUCAAUAACACAAAGAGGUUAGAGCCAAGAAGUCCCCAGUAUCUGCUAGCUGUCCAAGAACAAAGCAGGCUUAAAUCCAUUUGGAUCCACGUCUCCAUUUGCUAGUGUUUUAAAUCCAAA